rnacentral:rRNA from 1 species
UACGGAGGGGGCUAGCGUUGUUCGGAAUGACUGGGCGUAAAGGGCGCGUAGGCGGUUUUUUAAGUGAGGCGUGAAAGCCCUGGGCUUAACCUAGGAGGUGCGUUUCAGACUGGAAAGCUUGAGUGCGAGAGAGGAAAGUGGAAUUCCCAGUGUAGAGGUGAAAUUCGUAGAUAUUGGGAAGAACACCGGUGGCGAAGGCGGCUAUCUGGCCCGUAAUUGACGCUGAGGCGCGAAAGCGUGGGGAGCAAACAGG